GACAGAGGGUGCAAACGUUGUUCGGAAUUACUGGGCGUAAAGCGCGUGUAGGCGGCCCUGCAAGUCGGGUGUGAAAUCCCACGGCUCAACCGUGGAAGUGCAUUCGAAACUGCAGGGCUAGAGUCCUGGAGAGGAAGGUGGAAUGCUUGGUGUAGAGGUGAAAUUCGUAGAUAUCAAGCGGAACACCGGUGGCGAAGGCGGCCUUCUGGGCAGUGACUGACGCUGAGACGCGAAAGCGUGGGGAGCAAACAGG
rnacentral:rRNA from 1 species